UACGAAGGGUGCAAGCGUUACUCGGAAUUACUGGGCGUAAAGCGCACGUAGGCGGCUUUGUAAGUUAGAGGUGAAAGCCCGGGGCUCAACUCCGGAAUUGCCUUUAAGACUGCAUCGCUAGAAUUGUGGAGAGGUGAGUGGAAUUCCGAGUGUAGAGGUGAAAUUCGUAGAUAUUGGGAAGAACACCGGUGGCGAAGGCGGCUCACUGGCUCGUAUCUGACGCUCAGGCGCGACAGCGUGGGGAUCAAACAGG
rnacentral:rRNA from 1 species